UACAGAGGGGGCAAGCGUUGUUCGGAAUUACUGGGCGUAAAGGGCGCGUAGGCGGCCUGCUAAGUCGAACGUGAAAUCCCCGGGCUCAACCCGGGAACUGCGUCCGAUACUGGUUGGCUUGAAUCCGGGAGAGGGAUGCGGAAUUCCAGGUGUAGCGGUGAAAUGCGUAGAUAUCUGGAGGAACACCGGUGGCGAAGGCGGCAGCCUGGACCGGCAUUGACGCUGAGGCGCGAAAGCCAGGGGAGCAAACGGG
rnacentral:rRNA from 1 species